GUUGGAGAGCAUGUAACCUGCACGAGAUUGAAAUCAUUUUAGGGUUAGGGUUUAAUGGUACUAAAACAUCUAACCUGGAGUGGUCAACAUCAGUCCUGCAGAGUUCAGCUUCAACCCUAAUCAAACACACCUGAACCAACUAAUCAAGGUCUAAGGGCUUCUAGAAAGCUACAGUUAAGACUUCAUGCUGGCACGUUCUGAAGGAACUUGAUUCUUGUUUUCUUCAAAAAGCGAUCUGUGAGCUUGAGGAUUAAAAGCUCAUUGCAGUUUCAAAUGUUUCGUUGUUGCUGGAAAUGGGUGAGGAACAUUA